GAUAGAUAGAUAAAUGAAUUUUGGGAAACAUUCUGAUUCUCAUAACUUUGUCAGCCUUUUGGGCCUUUUCCCUCCUACGAUCCACCAAAGGUAGACAGAUGUUAAUGAAUCAGAUGUCAGACUUCGAUCCUUUGAUUCCUUUUUGCGGACUCAUGAGCCAAAAAAGGCUCUGGGCAGCCUAAAGGUUCUUUCCAGGUGAGUCCCUGUACUUUCCUGUGAGUCACCCACACCUUACAUGCUCUGGCUCUCCCUGUAGUCAUUACAAACAUGAGCCAUGUAAACCCAACGGCCAGACAGAAGGAAGGGGCAUAGGUAGUGCGCAGUAGCUUGAAGCGUUGAAAAGGAACAAGACUAGAAAACUAACAACCACGUAAGCAAGACACAGAAACACAAAGGAUGAGCGAGCGUGUUGCAGACCCACAGCCAGUGGGGUAGUAGUAAUCCUGAAAUAUGUGGAAUGUCAGUACUGGACAGUCUGCAGAUGGUGAAUCAUCCUGAAAGGUACGGUGACGUCACACCAUUUAAUGUGGGAAGGUCAGUCAUUGGUGGUAUCAGAAUUUCUGUAAUCAGCAGAAAUAACUGUCUUUAUAGGAAGGAAGUGGACCCAGAGUGGUGAGGCCAAUAGCAAAGAGAGGUAGACCUCAGAUUUCCUAAUAACCCCCAUCAUAGUAUAUAAUGUCUUAAUAAUACUCAUAAUGGGAAACCUGACAUAUUGUUCCAAAAACAACACACAGUCUCUUACAAAAGGCAGAGGUAAAACAUCUUUCAUUCCCUUCUAAAACGGUUUUAAAGUUUUUUACCUUUAUGGAUGACCUUCCAGCUAUCCAGUGUGUUAUUUAAUUGCAAAUGGAAGAUACCCAAUUUGAAUUUGCCUAAAUUCACAGGAGACUGUAAGGAUCUGAGUUUGAAACCAGCACAAGAGUAUUGUUUACUGCAUUUAGACAUAACUAAAUGCAGUCAGAAUUCACGUGAAAUGUAUGUUUUCUUCUCCUGGGCUUUAUUCUCCACCACUGUGGAGGGUGGGAAGCCCAAGGUCAAGGUGCCAGCACUGUCAGGUUCUGGCGAGGACUGUCAGCCUGGCUUGUAGCAGGCCACCUUCUCCCAGUGUCCUUACGUGGCCUUCUGCGCGUCCCCCGUGUCGUGCUCUCAUAAGAACACCACUACACCACUCCUAUCACAUUAGGGCCCCAGCCUGUGACCUUAUUUAACCUUAGUAACUUCCUUAGAGGCCCCCCUCCAAAUAACAGUCACACUCGGGGAAUUUGGGGGAGGGGGCCCGAUUCACUUCAUAGCAUUCAUUGUAAACUUGGCUGCUGACAUCUCCUGAAUCAUAUCUGUAGCUACAGAAAUGACCUGAUGUACUCUGCAACCAAGUCUGUGUAAGCAGAACUGCUGGCCCCGUUUGGCACAGGCAUCUGACCUUGGGCCAGUGAGCUGUGGUCAAGGGGCAGGUCCUACAGAGUCAUGGGUGGUCUUGGAGGGGCCUUAGGAAUUAAUCUGGGGGAGGGCCAGUUCCUACACAAAGUUUUCCAAAAUUGGGGUUCUCUCAGAUUUUAAAUGUGAGGUUUCCCACACAACGGUAAGGUUAUUAGCCCCAAAUGUUUUAUCUAUACAACGUCUCACUAAAGCAUCCCUUGUACUUUGUGUACAGCUGUAUCCGGUCGUAACUGUCCAGCUCUCAGUCUGGUGCUCGUCCCUAGACUUGUUUUGAGAGAAAACAAAACGGGGGUGGGAUCCAUUUAAAACAACAUUUUGAAGAUACUUAGCAUGCUGCAAAUAAAAUCACAUUUUUGGCGUUCUCAUUUAAGUAUUUUAUUCUUAAUCUUUGGAAAUCCAAAGGACAUUCAGCCACUUUCUGGUAUCUCAGAUAUGCUUCUUUCUAGAGGAAUAACUUUAAAAUUUGUUGGAUUAUUAUUCAAAUGUUUGUUUUCCUUGGAAGUGGCUCUAAUUUCAUAGUUUUUGAGAAAAGCAUUUCAAAUUUUGUUGUGUGUAUGUAUGUGUACAAGGACUCAUGUUUUUAUGUCAUUCUGGUUCUAUGAACCAUUUGCUUUGUAAUCUAAGAGGUAAAACUUCUUGUAAUCUAAGAGGGGUUUGAUGUGUUUCCUCUCUCUCCCAAUCCCCCAAGAGCUGUGUGCCCCUGUAUACACUUGACAUUAGGAGGUGCUCGGGUCUGGAACAUAUUUUCAGUAGAGCCCCAAGGGCAAGAAAUGCCUGCUAUAUCCAGAGGGGCAGUGAAGGCACCAGGCUGACCACUGGUCACUCACUCAUGAGUUGUGUAUGGAGCAUCAUCUCCGACUCUUCCUUCCUGUAUGACCUUAGGUAGUUAUUAAGCUCUAGACCUGACUUUUCUUAUCUUUAAAAUGGGGUAACUAACUUAUCAGGGUUAUACGAGGAAAUAAUAGGAUAAUGGACAUGAGGGUCUUCACACAGUGGCUGGUGUGUAGUAAGUGCUCAAUAAAGGUUAACUAGUGGUGGUAGUGGUAGUACCAGAGCUUUUGUGUGCCAGAUGCAGUGUUGGAUACAAAGUUGACCAACAUACUCUACCCUUAACUCAUAAACCCCUCAAGUGUGCAGAGAGUGCAUAUCAGGUUCAGACCAGGGUGUAAAAUCACAUGCAUGACUUCUAACAAACUAUACUGCCCACAAAAAGAUGUGCCUGAAACACAAUGGGAAUGCCACCCUUCAGGUGAAUGUGGCCAGUGCUAAGUCCCGUUUUCUUGCCAAAUAGAAAAAUAAUGCCUCUGUCUCCCUGGAGAAUACUGGCCACUUAAGUUUAGACAUAAGCCUUUUAUUUUCUCAUCUUUUAUUUCCUGUGUCUUCCUUCCCCAACAACAGCGGGUUGGUGGUUAGUGGUUGACUUGAAUGUUAAGGAAAACUACAUGGUGGUCCCAGUUCAUAGGACUCCAGAAGUAUCGUGGAAGCUGUCGAGGCCUCCUACCAUUCCCAAGCAAGAAUGGGCUGUUGGUCAGACCACCCUUAGUGUUUUCCCAAGGCGUAUCAUGCGUAGGAGGUCAUAGCGAAGAAAUUCCCAGACGCACUUUGGAAGAGGUGGGAUGCUUGAAACUGGUGGUGACUUCCUCUUCCAGCAGACAGAGGGUGGGCCAGGAAAAUACUUCAAAGUCAUGUCGAGACUGAGGUGGGGUUUUUGGUGGGCUCCUUUGAGAGGGUGUUGACAAUGAGAAGUAAAGGGGGAGAAACAGGAAGCAGUUUUGAAAAGAGUGGAGUUGUUCCUGGGUCUAACCAGUUUGACUACCUGCCUGUGUGUGUAGCACAAGGGCAUCUGGGUCUUGGCUUUCAAAUCUGUGAGCCUACGUUUACUACGACUUCUGUGUGCACAGGGGCCAUUGAUGAAGCAUUGAGAAUAUGAGGAAUUGUAAGGAAUGGCCCAAAUGCUUCAGAAAUGUAUAACCUUGACCAAAGCUGCACUGAGAAGGUAUACCCUUCCACGUCAUCCCGGGACCAUCGACCGCAGUGUCCCCUUCCGUGACCCCAGUGUGGUGUCGGGAUGCUGGACAGCACUGGCUGGAAACCCGGUUCCGCCCUUAUUGGGCGUGGCAGUUUUUCCUUUCUCUGAUUACAAACCAGCAUUCUGGAACCAUCUGGUUGAAGUCACAGAGCCCUGAGUGGUGGGGUGAUGUGGAGGUUACCUCCCGCAGCUGCGCACCUUAGAAGGCGGGGUCUGUUUUCUGUUCACUAGCCCAGUGCCUCAGACUCACAUCCAUGGAGGGCUCGCUCAAAUCAACUCCUGGGUCCCACCUCCAGUUUCUCGUUUAGAUCUGAGGUAUCUGAGAGCAGGGCUUGUCCAGCGAGGAGAUUAGAAAAGGAUAGGAGCUCAUUCCCAUACGGUAAAGCCAGAGAAAGCCUUGCUGUGAAGAGAACAAACAGAACCUGUUUGGUGGCUUGUCAUUUCAAUGACAACACGAACCUUUCACAGGUGAGCAUUCCUCACACGCCUCCCCUUCCUCCUGCCCCUGGGGGGGGGGAGGGUGGGCGGGCAGUGGGGUCACCCCAGCGGGAGCAGGGGAAAAACACGAAAACAAGUUACAUGCCUUCAGAGAACCCAGGGGUUUGAUGACAAACAUUUAAGAACCCAAGGGAGAGUCGAGGGAGAAAAGUUUAUUAAAACUUGCCCAGGCGAUAAAAAUCACUCCAAGAAGAAACAAAGCCUCAUUCUGCUACCUCGUUUAGGGAAACAGCACAGCAGGUACACGUUUCUUGAUAAGAGUGUAUUGUUUUCAUAUUUAUCUUGUUUCUCUCUCUUCAUUCCUCUUGAAUAAACAUAAAGAACUGAUUUCUUAGAUCACCUGUACGAAAAACAUCACCACCAAAUCCUCUGAAGAGUCAGAGUCCUCAUAGCCAGAGCGGUUGGAAUUUAACAAGAGAACACAUUUCUGAUUAAAAAAAUUUUUAUUUAUUUAUUUUUGAGAGAGAGAGAGAGAGAGAGCGCAGGGGAGGGGCAGAGAGAGAGGGAGACAGGUUCCCAAGCAGGCUCUGCAUGGUCAGUGCAGAGCCCAACACGGGGCUCAAACCCACAAACCACAAGAUCAUGACUGAGCUGAAACCAAGAGUUGGACAUCAGUGACUGAGCCACCCCAGGGCUCCCCGUUUCUGAUUUUUUACAAAUAAAAAGGCCAAUCCUAAGGGUCCUUUGAGGCCUCUUAUGAACUCCGCUAAGCUCUCCAUGAAAGCUGGUUUCAAAAGGGGGAGCCCAUGUGGGGGCCCCCCCCAUGAGGAAUCUUGCAUGAAGAACCCUAUACUGGAGCAGGCUCAGGCCAUGUGCACUUUGAGAGACUCAAUGACAUGCUGUGCCUCAACAGGGCUUGUGAGAGGACAGUGUGAGCUGGGGUGAGAAAAGCAGAGAUCAGACUUUCUGCCAGUUUUGUGUGGAUUAGCAGGCACAGAGAAGUCACCCAGCAGAGCGGGCAGGAGGGGGGCCAGGACAGAUGCUUUACUCUGGUAACCGCUAAGUAUUACUGUUUGCAGGUGAGACUCUGGUUUGGCCAUGUGUACAUACCCUCCUAAAAGCAAAAAAUUUUCUUCCCCCUGAUUUCAAGUAUUAAGAUAAAUGGAGAGUGAUUUACAGGUAUCACUUUGAAAACAAUUAGGCACUUAAGAUUCAUCUUUUCUUUUCGUUACAAUUUUGCUUUGAAAUGUGGUCCUUAAAAUUCCCUUGAAGAUGACCCCUUGUGAAUGUCUAAUGUCUCUUUGCAAACUAGAGGUUUUUGUUAAUGUGAUACGCACACAUACAGGAGUUAGUUCAUCAGCAGCUGUAAUUUGAGCCUCAUACAAAACAUGGCUUUAAUUACUAGGGUUCGGGGCCCAAGAAAUGACCAGAGUAAUAGCCAGUAUAAUUAUGAAUAAAUAGAAGGAAAGGUUAUAACCACUUAAAAUAACUGAGCGUAAGUAUAAAAUGCAAAAACAAAGCUGUUUAUACUUAAAUCUCUACAUUUAUUUUUCCAAAAAUGUCAUUAUGAGAACAAAUAUACUCCUAUAUAGUCAAGUUCACCUUAAUCACAAUGAAGUCAUAGGAUAACUUAAAAGAGAUAAUCCUCGUAUUUAAAGGAUGUUUAAAAUGUCAGCCAUAAUCAAGACCCUCUAAUUUGAAACACCAUGUAUGGCAUCUCACUUUGUAAAAAGGUAAUACAUCCCUCAAGACUUCUUCAAACAAAUCCAACAUAAAUAGGAGUACAAUAAAAACUAUUUUCAAAACCAAAAAAAUCAAAGCACCUAUUUAAAUUAAAUCCAUCAAGAGUCUAUAAGAUUAUUUCAGGAGGAC